rnacentral:lncRNA from 1 species
UUGUAGAGUAGUCCAAGUACUCCAUUUGUUAUUUUUGCUUCAUGUUGAAAGGAUCGCUCUAAGACCGUGAAUUCGAGCUCCAAAGUUUCUAACAAAACCGAGACUGUAACUGAAUCAAACGAUUCAGUUUCGUCAGACCUCUCGGCAGAGUCAUUUGCUCCACUUUGGGUUCGAUUUUAACUGCCCAAACUCACUUUAUCUUGCCCAACUUCCACUGAUCUUAGUUCAACAUACAACAAAGGUUCCAUUUUGCACACAAGAACCCAUCUCUUACACAUUGGAUUUUUCUAAAAUUGGCUCCAAACAUUGCUAAUCAAUGCUGUUUUUCAGACUUAGGAUUAUUUCAGCGAGAAGCCUCAAAUCUGCUCAUUUGCUGAUUUUGGGCUUCAUUUUAAAUUCAAACCUUCCACUUUCUGUGGCCAACAUCAUUUCACUUUCCUUCUCCAUAG